GUGGUUGAAGAGAGGACCAACUGGGAUAAUUGCUACAAAUCUUUACUGUGCUGAAGAAACUGUCGCUAGCAUAUCAGAAGAUGUUGAGAGAGGAGUGGUAACAUCAAGAUCUGGCCUAUCUAAGUCCGGAAGGGAGGGCCUCCUCCAAUUGCUAGAUAGCAGGAAUGUCAAAAUUGUUCCAUUUGGUGGCUGGGAAAAGAUAGAGAGUGAAGAGAAAAGAAGAGGUAGUCUGAAAAACAAACCCAGGGAAAAGCUUACCUCUUGGGAGGAUUUAUUAGAAGUUGCCACCAAGUGAUAAAAGUGUCUCCAAGAUGGCAGAUUUUGCUUACAUCUGUGGUUUUAUGGUAAAGCCCGAACUCUAUAACUCUUUCAGAUGUGUGCAUUGCUUUUAGCCCUCGGCAUUUAAGAGAAUUUGCUGUGCAUUCUUUCUUAGAAAAGAUGAUAAAUAAUCGGUUAGCUCUGUUUUGAGCUCUUCACGUCCUGGAACCUUUUUCUGACAUGGUUGAGGCAGGGACUAGUGUUGUGCUUUGUAAUACAGCCACCAUCACUAAAGGCUCAGCUUAUGCAUUGAUUCCUCCAAUUUUUGGUAGUUAGUUGAAUUAGAUGAAGUGCAGUGCACACUAAAGCAAUUUAUGGGCAAUCGCCACACUGAGAAAUCAAA
rnacentral:misc_RNA from 1 species